GGAAGUUCCAUUGGAAAAGGAUUGUCAAGUGCAAGAAGUGGCUUGGCUCCUUUUUGAAAACCAGGAUGGCGAGUAUAAACAGUUUCAUAGCGGUCUUCAAGCCAAAGGACAAGUGAUAAGCACCGUUUGCUAGGAACAGGUUUGAUGGCAAGUUCGUUGCAAGCUCUUGUAAUAAUAGUUUGCAUUUGUGACCUAAAAAUGGAAAACAAUUGAUGAGAGAAUUGAAAAUGUAAAACAGUUGAGAGGAUGUAAGUUAAGAGUACCUGAAGAAUCUGAUUUUAUCGGGUAAUGGGAUACCUAAGUCAUUAGAUAUAGAUAGUAAAGCAUCUUUCAAAGUGAUACUAUUGAUAAGAUUAUUAGGAAAAUAUUUGGUAUACUGAAGAGAGAGGGAAUCAUCACAAACAAGAAGCUCCCAUAAUUUUUUCCCUCUAAUAUCAAGAAUUGGUCUUGAACAAAAAUCCAAUUCCCACUCAGAUAAGCUCUCAGGAUCAAUUUCAGGGUCAAGAUAAACAAGUUCAGCAGUGGGAUCGUCGUCCUCCUCUUCUUCUAUUUCAUCUACUAAUUUGGAA
rnacentral:misc_RNA from 1 species